rnacentral:tRNA from 2 species
CGGGGCGUAGCGCAGGUGGCUAGCGCGCCUGCCUUGGGAGCAGGAGGUCGCUGGUUCAAGUCCAGUCGCCCCGA